AGCCACGUAGUGUUGUGGCUUGAGCGUUGGACUACAACUCUAGAGACCAGGGUUCAAUUCCCAGGUUGGCCA